rnacentral:rRNA from 1 species
UACGAACUGUGCGAACGUUAUUCGGAAUCACUGGGCUUACAGGGUGCGUAGGCGGCCCGACAAGUCAGGUGUGAAAGCCCUCGGCUCAACCGAGGAACUGCGCUUGAAACUGUUGGGCUCGAGUCAGCUAGAGGUGCACGGAACUUCCAGUGGAGCGGUGAAAUGUGUUGAUAUUGGAAGGAACACCGGAGGCGAAAGCGGUGCACUGGGGCUGGUCUGACGCUGAGGCACGAAAGCCAGGGGAGCGAACGGG